AUGACUGUACCCGAAUAAGAAGGUCCGGCUAACUUCGUGCCAGCAGCCGCGGUAAUACGAAGGGACCUAGCGUAGUUCGGAAUUACUGGGCUUAAAGAGUUCGUAGGUGGUUGAAAAAGUUAGUGGUGAAAUCCCAGAGCUUAACUCUGGAACUGCCAUUAAAACUUUUCAGCUAGAGUAUGAUAGAGGAAAGCAGAAUUUCUAGUGUAGAGGUGAAAUUCGUAGAUAUUAGAAAGAAUACCAAUUGCGAAGGCAGCUUUCUGGAUCAUUACUGACACUGAGGAACGAAAGCAUGGGUAGCGAAGAGGAUUAGAUACCCUCGUAGUCCAUGCCGUAAACGAUGUGUGUUAGACGUUGGAAAUUUAUUUUCAGUGUCGCAGCGAAAGCGAUAAACACACCGCCUGGGGAGUACGACCGCAAGGUUAAAACUCAAAUGAAUUGACGGGGACCCGCACAAGUAGUGGAGCAUGUGGUUUAAUUCGAAGAUACGCGCAGAACCUUACCAACACUUGACAUGUUCGUCGCGACUCUAAGAGAUUAGAGUUUUCGGUUCGGCCGGACGAAACACAGGUGCUGCAUGGCUGUCGUCAGCUCGUGUCGUGAGAUGUUGGGUUAAGUCCCGCAACGAGCGCAACCCUCACUUUUAGUUGCCAUCAUUAAGUUGGGCACUCUGAAAGAACUGCCAGUGAUAAGCUGGAGGAAGGUGGGGAUGACGUCAAGUCCUCAUGGCCCUUACGUGUUGGGCUACACACGUGCUACAAUGGUAUCUACAACAGGAAGCAAGACUGCGAGGUCAAGCAAAUCCUUAAAAGAUACCUCAGUUCGGAUUGCACUCUGCAACUCGAGUGCAU
rnacentral:rRNA from 1 species